rnacentral:rRNA from 1 species
GACGAACGCUGGCGGCGUGCUUAACACAUGCAAAUCGAACGAUGAAGCCGGAGCUUGCUCUGGUGAAUUAGUGGCGAACGGGUGAGUAACACGUGAGUAACCUGCCCUUGACUCUGGGAUAACUGCUAGAAAUGGUAGCUAAUACCGGAUACGACCCUCGGAGGCAUCUCCAGGGGGUGGAAAGAAUUUCGGUCAAGGAUGGACUCGCGGCCUAUCAGCUAGUUGGUGAGGUAAUGGCUCACCAAGGCGACGACGGGUAGCCGGCCUGAGAGGGUGACCGGCCACACUGGGACUGAGACACGGCCCAGACUCCUACGGGAGGCAGCAGUGGGGAAUAUUGCACAAUGGGCGCAAGCCUGAUGCAGCAACGCCGCGCGAGGGAUGACGGCCUUCGGGUUGUAAACCUCUUUUAGUAGGGAAGAAGCGAAAGUGACGGUACCUGCAGAAAAAGCACCGGCUAACUACGUGCCAGCCGCCGCGGUAA